rnacentral:sRNA from 1 species
GAAUGAAGCACAAAGACUAAGAAUGCCACGUCCUCCCAAAAGCUGCCGCUUUCGGUCGUGCGAUGUAUCGCUCUGUAGCUUUCCUUAUCCUGUGGCAACGUCUUUGUGACCCACAUCGUGCGGG